rnacentral:rRNA from 1 species
UACAGAGGGUGCGAGCGUUGUUCGGAAUCACUGGGCGUAAAGCGCGCGCAGGCGGGCGUGUAAGUCAGAAGUGAAAUUCCGGGGCUCAACCCCCGGAGCUGCUCCUGAUACUGCACGUCUGGAGACCGGUAGAGGCUGGUGGAAUUCCCGGUGUAGCGGUGGAAUGCGUAGAGAUCGGGAAGAACACCCGUGGCGAAGGCGACUUCCUGGCCUGUUCUUGACGCUGAGGCGCGAAAGCUAGGGUAGCAAACGGG